rnacentral:misc_RNA from 1 species
GUGAGUCAUCGAAUCUUUGAACGCACAUUGCGCCCUUGGGUAUUCCCAAGGGCAUACCUGUUUGAGCGUCAUUUCACUCUUAAACCUCUGGUUUAGUGUUGUCUCGUUCUCUUUUAGAGAUGAGGUGAAAUGAAUUGGCACAGAUUUCUAGUGACUUAAACAACGUGAUAGGUUUUUCCAAUUCGUUGGCCAUAGAAGCUAGAUACGUCUGGGCGUACAAACUACUCAAAAGUUUGACCUCAAAUCAGGCAAGACUACCCGCUGAACUUAAGCAUAUCAAUAAGCGGAGGA